rnacentral:rRNA from 1 species
GAUGAACGCUGGCGGCGUGCUUAACACAUGCAAGUCGAACGAUGAAGCCCAGCUUGCUGGGUGGAUUAGUGGCGAACGGGUGAGUAACACGUGAGUAACCUGCCCUUAACUCUGGGAUAAGCCUGGGAAACUGGGUCUAAUACCGGAUAGGAGCGCCUACCGCAUGGUGGGUGUUGGAAAGAUUUAUCGGUUUUGGAUGGACUCGCGGCCUAUCAGCUUGUUGGUGAGGUAAUGGCUCACCAAGGCGACGACGGGUAGCCGGCCUGAGAGGGUGACCGGCCACACUGGGACGGAACCCCGCCCCGGCCCCCUCGGGGGGCCGGGGGGGGGGAUUUUUGCCAACUGGGCGAAGCCCUAAUGCAGCGCCGCCGGGGGGGGGAGGACGCCCUCCGGUUGUUAACCCUUUUCCAGAGGGGAAGAAGCGAAAGUGCCGUUCCCUGAAAAAGAAGCCCCGGCUAACUCCGUC